rnacentral:rRNA from 1 species
GUAACGGCGAGCGAACGGGGAAGAGCCCAGCACCGAAUCCUGCAGUCUUGCGCUGUUAGGAAAUGUGGUGUUUAGGACUAUUUCUACGAUCGAUGGCCUACUUAAAGUUCACUUGAUUGUGACUCUAGGCCCGGAGAGGGUGUAAGGCCCGUCUGGGUAGGCUGUCGUAUCGUCUGAAUUGUCCUUAGAGUCGGGUUGUUUGAGAUUGCAGCCCAAAGUGGGUGGUAAACUCCAUCUAAGGCUAAAUACUGAACACUAGUCCGAUAGUCAACAAGUACCGUGAGGGAAAGUUGAAAAGAACUUUGAAGAGAGAGUUCAAUAGUGCGUGAAGCCGUCUAGAGGUAAACGAGUGGGGCCGAAAUUGACUUUGAGGAUUCAGCCAGUGAGGCGAAGUAUGUCGGUUAUUUUGGACUCUAUUUAGAGCUGACUGGCUGGUAAACCCUUUGCUUCGCUGGUGCACUUUCUCAUUGUCUAUACCAUGACCGGCGGUCUGAUGGUCUGUCAUUGGAUGGUGGUAGUGUCGGUUUCGGCUGGCAUGAAACUUCUGAUAUGGAACUGUCGGAUUGCUGUGACUGCGACGCAAGCUUUAUUGCGCACAUGGCUUAAUUGAAUUGGAGCUACUUUGGGUAAACUUCAAAGAAGAUUGCUCGAGGUGGUUUUAGUUUGGUUGGUCCUCUGUGAUUUGUGUCAAUAGUCUAUGGUGUUUAAGUAGGCAACCUACUUGACCCGUCUUGAAACACGGACCAAGGAGUCUAGCAUGUGCGCGAGUCAUUGGACGUUACGAAACCCAAAGGCGAAGUGAAAGCAAAGGCGCAUUUCAUUGUGCUUAGAUGUGAUCCCGGUUGUUAUUUAUAACGCUGGGCGCAACAUCGGCCCGUCUCAUAAUAUUUUUAUUGGGGCGGAGCUAGAGCGUACAUGCUGAAACCCGAAAGAUGGUGAACUAUGCUUGCGCAGGUUGAAGCCAGAGGAAACUCUGGUGGAGGACCGUAGCGAUUCUGACGUGCAAAUCGAUCGUCAGACGUGAGUAUAGGGGCGAAAGACUAAUCGAACCAUCUAGUAGCUGGUUCCCUCCGAAGUUUCCCUCAGGAUAGCUGGCAUGCAUGAGAUAAAACAGUUUUAUCCGGUAAAGCGAAUGAUUAGAGGUAUUGGGGACUAAGUGUCCUCAACCUAUUCUCAAACUUUAAAUGGGUGAGAAGCUGAACUCUCUUAAUUGGAGUUUGGCAUUGAAUGUGUGUGCCUAGUGGGCCAUUUUUGGUAAGCAGAACUGGCGCUGUGGGAUGAACCAAACGUCUAGUUAAGGCGCCUAACACGUCGCUCAUGAGAUACCACAAAAGGUGUUGGUUGAUAUAGACAGCAGGACGGUGGCCAUGGAAGUUGGAAUCCGCUAAGGAGUGUGUAACAACUCACCUGCCGAAUCAACCAGCCCUGAAAAUGGAUGGCGCUUAGCGAUGGGCCUAUACUGGACCGACACUGUAAACUGACUGUUUAAUUAAUACAGUGUUGAGUAGGAGGGUCGCCGUGGUGAGCGUUGAAGCUUAGUCUGUGAAGGCUGGUGGAGCCGCCACGGGUGCAGAUCUU